GACGAACGCUGGCGGCGUGCUUAACACAUGCAAGUCGAACGUGAUUUUUGUGGAAAUUCUUUCGGGAAUGGAAAUGAAAUGAAAGUGGCGAACGGGUGAGUAACACGUGAGCAACCUACCUUACACAGGGGGAUAGCCGUUGGAAACGACGAUUAAUACCGCAUGAGACCACAGAAUCGCAUGAUAUAGGGGUCAAAGAUUUAUCGGUGUAAGAUGGGCUCGCGACUGAUUAGCUAGUUGGAAGGGUAAAGGCCUACCAAGGCGACGAUCAGUAGCCGGUCUGAGAGGAUGAACGGCCACUUUAGAACUGAUACACGGGCCAAACUCCUACGGGAGGCUGCAGUGGGGAAUAUUGCACAAGGGGGGGAACCCUGAUGCAGCUGCGCCGCGUGAUCUAUGUAGUUUUCGAAUGGCAAUGCUCUGUCCUAUUAAAAAAUAAUAACGUUUUUAUAGGAAGAAGCCCCUGCAAAUACGUGGCAGCAGUCUCGGUUGUUGGUUUGUGCUGUCGUUGUGCUUAAUAUGGGCGUAAUGGUACGUUGUUGGUUUUUAAUUUGGGUGUGAAUGCGUGUGGCUUUACCGCUGUUAUCUCUUUGAAUUGGAUGACUUGAUGAAGGGGGGGAUGGUGGGUUCCUGUGGUGGUGGUGUGUUGCUGUAUGGAUUUAGUAUGUCUGUGUUGGGUGAAUUGUUUAUGUUGUUUGUGUUUUGUAUGAGUGUUGUGUGCUGUGGUGUGUGCAGCGGUGUGACUGUGGGGAUGUAUGUUGGCUUGUGUGGUUGGUGUGUAUGUGUGUGGAAAAAAUCAUGAAAAAUAUUAAUGUGUGAAGUGUUGUUAUGAUAUGUGUGUGUGUGUUUAUGUUGUUGUUAGUGUGUGUGUGUGGUGGUGUGUGU
rnacentral:rRNA from 1 species